rnacentral:misc_RNA from 1 species
UUGAUUCUGGCUCAGAUUGAACGCUGGCAGGAUGCUUUACACAUGCAAGUCGAACGGCAGCAUGGACUUCGAUCUGGUGGCGAGUGGCGAACGGGUGAGUAAUGUAUCGGAACGUGCCUAGUAGCGGGGGAUAACUACGCGAAAGCGUAGCUAAUGCCGCAUACGCCCUUCGAGGGAAAGCGGGGGACCUUCCGGGCCUCGCACUAUUAGAGCGGCCGAUAUCGGAUUAGCUGGUU